GGGGAAGGCCUGUAGCUCAGCGGUAGAGCAUCUGCCUUGUGUGCAGUCAGUCCCAGGUUCAAUCCCCAGCUUCUCCA